AUGAUCAACGAAGAUUUCAACAUGAUUUAUCAAGCGAGCGACAAGAGUAACAGCAACAUCAACAGGAGGAUGAUGGGCAAGUUCAGAAGAGCGUUGGACUGGGCUGGGCCGAAAGAGAUAAAGUGCAGAAACAGGAAAUUCACCUGGACCAACGAACGUGAAAGCCCCACCCUCUGCAGUAUUGAUAAAUAUUUCUGC
rnacentral:rRNA from 1 species